ensembl:lncRNA
AUGCAUUUUAUUGCCUACCUUCCAACUUUCAGUCUCUGGAGAAACAAAAAACUUUUUUCAGCUUAACAACACUAGUAGGCUCUUUGUAUUUGCAUUUCAAGCCUCUUCCCAGUUUGGUUUGUAUUUUCCCAACUUUACGUGUAUUGUUCCAUUGGUAGCACAAGCAGUUUUUUUAAUUGAGCAUUUUGUCUACAUUUGUUGUUGUAUAAUUUAAAACAAAUAAAUAAUUUGAGACUUUUAUUUUGAAAUAAUUACGAAUGGCGGCCAUAUUGAAAUCUUCGUUGUUGUCGCUGGCUACACGCUGCUUAACACAGUUUGUUUUGUGUACCUCCAGAAAUCUGAGUUUAGUCAUGUGAAAUGGUUCAUAGUAGAACGUGAACUUAAAUAUCUUGUUGCCACAUUUCAAUAUAUGUAGUUAUCUAGUGAAAAUACGUUAGGUACCAAUACUACAAAAGUAGCUAUCGCCUUUGUUGGAAGAUUGGCUGCUGGAAGCUAUAGCUAACGUUAGCUAAUGUUUGCAAAUCGAACUAACAAUUAACAAAUGUUUGAGAUAGUUGGCUGGCUGACCUAGUCCUAGACGUCUACCUAAAAAGUUUUGCCCAAGACGAAAAAAAGACGCACUUCGUCCAGCGGUCAGGAUGGUGUGUGAGCUGCUUCUGUCGUCUGUGUGGUUCCUUUUUGUUAUCUUUUGGAUGGAGACGAUCAGCGUAUGGCUCUUCCUAUGUUUCUUCUACCAGGAUAGGGCCUUCUAUCACUGGGGAGAUGGGGUGUUUGCAGAUGACCCUGGACAAAUGCUCUACAUGUUAACCAGAGUGGACCGUUCUGGGGAGAUGCAGACAUGAGUCAAAUGUGCAAGAAAAUGUUGCACGUUUCAAACAACCUAGAAGAAUGGGGUCUUUCAUAUUUCUUUCAAACCAUCUUUUAAGGUAUUCCAUUUCUGAGUCCAUCUUCAUGGACCUGCCUGAAACCCCCUUGGAGAUAAACAGGACCAGAGGACGGACGUUCUGGUUAGAUUAAUGACUGCUGUGGUCACGCCUGUGUGUUUGAUGGAAAGCAGAAAAGGUUAAACAUAAAUACAGACUGUCCUCCUGGAAGCUUUUUCCGCUACACUACAUUAACCAGCCUAUGUUCUCUGCCCUUUUCCAAUAUGGUCAGGGUAUAUACAGUCUCAUUAUAUAUACCUGUGUGUGUAUAUAUAGAUGUUUGAUUUGAAUGUGAAAACAAACAGAAUCAUCUCUAUACUUUGUGAGACAUGAUGUCAACAGCAUCAAACUGAAUUUAGUGAGGCAAACCUCAGAAUGUUUCAGUGGAUCUGUGUAUGAUUUUGGUCAUUUUGUUGAACUUUCAGAUAAUUUUUACCUUGUAGAGACUGUUAAUUUGUAUUUUACUUGCACUCAAGGCUGUUUUGCUUUUAAGCAAUAAAGUUGACAUUUGCUUGGGUGAUGGUCCA